rnacentral:tRNA from 1 species
GAGAUUAUAGUUUAAUUAGGUAGAACUAUCGUUUGUCACAUGAUGGGUACGGGUUCAAUCCCCGUUAAUCUUG